CAACAGUGAAGCUACUGCGCCGCCAUCUUGGUAUUCCCUAACGUUCUGUAUUCCUAUGGGUCUCAAUGAGAAAACGUCUGUUUUGCAGCAUUACGUUCAGCGGCGCACGUGUUACCUCAAUAGAAAUAAGUUUAAGAAACUGAGUUUUUGCAGUGCACGCCUGAAACCGGACCAGCUCACGGGCAUCAUUUAUAAAGUGAUCAAUUGGAAUAGACGCGGAGCAGGGCUGGACUGGUAAUCUAGCCUACCGGACAUUUUUCCGGUGGACCGACGCACUUUGGGGCCGAUCAGGGUGGACUGGCCAUCGGGAGAACCGAGCGGGCCGCUGUGUCGGCCGCGAUAAUCUAAAACGAGCCGCCGCCGAACACUCUCCCCCAACAACUUUUGGGCCAGUUAUGUCAAAUCCCGGGCCGAUUUCUCUUUUCAGUCCAGCUCUGACAAGGAGCACAUGGAUAUUGUUGAAGUUAAACAAGUUCAAGCUUGCCCAGAGUUUUCUUAAGCCGUUUGGAGUGUGAUGCAGCACAUGUUUCCUUGGCAAUGAAGUGGAGCCUGAUGUUUGUGCAGCUUUCUGCAAUGCACUGAGUAUGAAGAUGUGAUUGUUGUACAUGUGUGCCUCAAGUUCCUUGAAUGCAGAACCACCAUGGAGAUCCAGAACCUUUGUGGGGACAGAGAUGGGCCUUGUGAGUGUGUGCUGUUGAAGAAAUCUCUCAGCUGUCUUGCAGACUUUCAGGACGCUGUCUGACGGUCUUAUAAAUCCACCUCAGGACUUCAUGUCGAUUAUUGUUCAUCUUGGGAAGAGCUCUCGACACUGAGUGCUGAUAAACAGGUAGUGCACAGAAUCAUCUUCAUAGUUGUUUUAACUGCAAAGCCUGCUAUGUACCCCACCACAGCCUCUUUGAACAUGGACAAGCUGGGACGACAUACAGUGAUGUUUUUCUCUGAGUCUUCUGUUUCAGGCUGAACAUAUCAGAAGAUGUUGCCUCCAGUGUCACUGUGCUAUCCAGUGGGGAACUGUUGCCACUAGCUCUGAUGGCAUGUCUUGCUACCAUUCUUUUGAAAGCUGAAUAAUGUGGGAUUGUUGUUAAAUCCAUUAGCAGAUUUGUUCCCACAUAUCUGCAAAUUUUUAUUGUAUUGUUCAGUUUAAGUCAAUUUAUGUGUGUACUU